CAGAAGAGUCCCUUCACUUUCAGCCGUUAUUUUGGCUGAUUUAGAGUUGGAUUUAGAGGACGCUGAAGUUGGAGAAAAAGUAGAUUAAGGCAUUAUUUCAGCAAUAGGAGGAGUCAUUUGGAGUUUCUGGAGUAGGAUUUGCCGUGCAAAGUGAAGUAAGAACGGGAAGAACGCGGUUGACUCCGUUCAUACAAUACUAGUGACGGAUACUUAUUCGAACUAUUUUGACGCUUAAUUGCAUUCACAAGCACAUCCAUAUUGGAGCUGAGGUUAUGGCUCAAGUGCAGUGCUUUUGGAGGGGCCCCAUGACGCCGGCCACCGUUGCCACCUAUUUUUGAACCCAAAUAAAGAACAUGAUUAUCGGAGUUUCAGACUUCGAACCGUAAAGAAAACAUGGCCAAUACACAAUUAUUUCAUUCCUCACCUUGACGCUUAUGGACUACAUGCUUUUGCUAGGCUCACAUCAUGCGAAGACCCAUCCCAGUUACAUUCGGACCCAUCCCUUUUAACAUCCCUCGUUGACCGGUGGAGACCUGAAACCCACACCUUUCACUUUCGUUUUGGGGAGCUUGCACCUACAUGAAAGAUGUUUCUAUGAUCCUUGCUCUACCAAUUAGAGGUGAGCCAUUAGUCUCUCCACGAGUGUCUAAAUCUUGGGCACAAAAUAUAUCAAACCGUCUUGAGUUGACAAUGCCAGAUUCACAACGUACUGGUGGCCCUCGUGGCAUCCCACUCUCCUGGCUUCAUGAUAACUUUGUUAAUUUUUCUAGCUUCGCUGAUUCUGAGAUGAGGAAAAGACAUCUGUUUGCGUAUUUGUUGUGGCUCCUCGGGGUUAUGUUUCCAAAUUCACACGGGGAUGUACUUCUCCCUGGUCUCAUCUACAUUGUGGAGAAGAUGGUAGAUGAACCUUUACCCGAGCAGCCAAAAUACAGCUUCGGUUCUGCCAUUCUAUCUCAUACAUAUAGAGGCUUGUGUGAUGCCACACAAAAAACUUCCUUCGCAAAAAAAGCUCCGUUACUUUGUGUCCCCUACGAGUUUCUAUAGUUGUGGUCCUGGGAAUACCUCCCUGUAGGACGACCUCGUAUAGUAAAUACCAUACACCCAUACGACUGUAGCGAGGGCAGCUGUGUAACUAUGGACAGUAGGUGGACAAAGGAAGGGAAACAUUGGUCUCCAAAUAUUGCGAAAAAUUGUUACCCUAUAUACCACCAGCAGUUUGAGGCACUUGAUGAGUUUGUAGUCACAUGAAACCCAUGGACUCAGGAGCAUGUACAUAUGGUCUUUGAUAUAUGACUCAUCAUAGAUGGCAUGUUGACUGAUAGUGCAUUCUGGCUGACUCGCUGCUACUUAUUGUUCUUGUGGUGUGUUGAGCCUUACAACCCAGAGCGUGUCAUGAGACAGUUCGGUCUGUAUUAGGAGAUUCCACCACCUUUUCCAAGAUGUACCGACGAGGAAACCCAUAAGCUGGCCAAUAUGGGCCACAGUUGGAGUCUUCACGAUUGGAGGGAACACAACAUUCAAUGGGUACACAUGUGGGAAAAUGAAGCGCUA